rnacentral:rRNA from 1 species
ACAUCCAGCGAACUUGGCAGAGAUGCCUUGGUGCCUUCGGGAACGCUGAGACAGGUGCUGCAUGGCUGUCGUCAGCUCGUGUUGUGAAAUGUUGGGUUAAGUCCCGNAACGAGCGCAACCCUUAUCCUUUGUUGCCAGCGAUUCGGUCGGGAACUCAAAGGAGACUGCCGGUGAUAAACCGGAGGAAGGUGGGGAUGACGUCAAGUCAUCAUGGCCCUUACGAGUAGGGCUACACACGUGCUACAAUGGCGCAUACAAAGAGAAGCGACCUCGCGAGAGCAAGCGGACCUCAUAAAGUGCGUCGUAGUCCGGAUCGGAGUCUGCAACUCGACUCCGUGAAGUCGGAAUCGCUAGUAAUCGCGGAUCAGAAUGCCACGGUGAAUACGUUCCCGGGCCUUGUACACACCGCCCGUCACACCAUGGGAGUGGGUUGCAAAAGAAGUAGGUAGCUUAACCUUCGGGAGGGCGCUUACCACUUUGUGAUUCAUGACUGGGGUGAAGUCGUAACAAGGUAGGCGUAGCGAG